GGCUCGUUGGUCUAGGGGUAUGAUUCUCGCUUUGGGUGCAAGAGGUCCUGGGUUCAAAUCCCGGACGAGCCC
rnacentral:tRNA from 2 species